AAUAGGAGAAUGACAAAUAAGAUUUUUACUCCUGAUUUUAAGUUUUUUCCUCUUGGAAAAAAAAUUCAAAUCAACUAAAAAUACUAAAAAUCAGAAGAAGAAAAUUUGAUUUGUUAUUCUUCUAUU
rfam:Gossypium raimondii Chr04_contig_145, whole genome shotgun sequence.